AUUGAACGCUGGCGGCAUGCCUUACACAUGCAAGUCGAACGGCAGCACGGGAGCAAUCCUGGUGGCGAGUGGCGAACGGGUGAGUAAUAUAUCUGAACGUGCCCAGUCGUGGGGGAUAACGUAGCGAAAGCUACGCUAAUACCGCAUACGAACUAUGUAUGAAAGCGGGGGACCGUAAGGCCUCGCCCGAUUGGAGCGGCACAUGUCCGAUUAGGUAGUUGGUGGGGUAAAGGAUCACCAAGCCAACGAUCUGUAGCUGGUCUGAGAGGACGACCAGCCACACUGGGACUGAGACACGGCCCAGACUCCUACGGGAGGCAGCAGUGGGGAAUUUUGGACAAUGGGCGCAAGCCUGAUCCAGCAAUGCCGCGUGCAGGAAGAAGGCCUUCGGGUUGUAAACUGCUUUUGUACGGAACGAAACGGCGAGCUCUAAUACAGUUUGCUAAUGACGAUACCGUAAGAAUAAGCACCGGCUAACUACGCGCCAGCCGCCGCAGUAAGAC
rnacentral:rRNA from 1 species